AACGAACGCUGGCGGCAUGCCUAACACAUGCAAGUCGAACGAGACCUUCGGGUCUAGUGGCGCACGGGUGCGUAACGCGUGGGAACCUGCCCUUAGGUUCGGAAUAACUCCCCGAAAGGGGUGCUAAUACCGGAUAAUGUAUUCGGACAAAAGAUAUAUCGCCUUUGGAUGGGCCCGCGUUGGUUUAGCUAGUUGGUAGGGUAAAAGCCUACCAAGGCGACGAUCCAUAGCUGGUCUGAGAGGAUGAUCAGCCACACUGGGACUGAGACACGGCCCAGACUCCUACGGGAGGCAGCAGUGGGGAAUAUUGGACAAUGGGCGAAAGCCUGAUCCAGCAAUGCCGCGUGAGUGAUGAAGGCCUUAGGGUUGUAAAGCUCUUUUACCCGGGAUGAUAAUGACAGUACCGGGAGAAUAAGCUCCGGCUAACUCCGUG
rnacentral:rRNA from 1 species